AUUGAACGCUGGCGGCAGGCCUAACACAUGCAAGUCGAGCGGAAGGGGCUUCGGCCCCGAGAGCGGCGGACGGGUGAGGAUAGCGUGGGAAUCUGCCUGUAGAUGGGGGAUAGCCCGGAGAAAUCCGGAUUAAUACCGCAUAAUACCUGAGGGUUAAAGUGGAGGAUCGCAAGACUUCACGUCUACAGAUGAGCCCACGUCAGAUUAGCUAGUUGGUAGGGUAAAGGCCUACCAAGGCGACGAUCUGUAGCUGGCCUGAGAGGGUGGCCAGCCACACUGGAACUGAGACACGGUCCAGACUCCUACGUGAGGCAGCAGUGUGGAAUAUUGGACAAUGGGCGCAAGCCUGAUCCAGCCAUGCCGCGUGUGUGAAGAAGGCCUUCGGGUUGUAAAGCACUUUAAGUUGGGAGGAAGGUUCCAAGGCUAAUACCUUUGGGAAUUGACGUUACCGACAGAAUAAGCACCGGCUAAUUCCGUGCCAGCAGCCGCAGUAA
rnacentral:rRNA from 1 species